AGCCCUCUGGUCUAAUGGCUAAGGCACCGGACUUUGAAUUCGGGGACUGAGGUUCAAUUCCUCCGAGGGCUA
rnacentral:tRNA from 1 species